CGCUUUGGAAACCGGAAGUGUACAAUGGUGAUCGACAUACCUUAGGAAAAUGACAUUAUAAUACCUUACAACCUCUUUCUUAGUAUUGUCGCAGCGUGAAGUUCAGACAGAUGACGUCUAUAUGACGUGGCCUGUCUUUGGCACCAAUGCUGCAGUUUUCUAGGAUCAUAUUGACACAGCAGCAGCAACAUUUAUGCAGGUGUGAACACACAGGCACACACAUAUUUGUUCAGCAUUGAGGAAUAAUAAAACAAGAAUGGCACCUUGUCCAGCCAACCUAUGAUGGGUUAAACAACUUCAGAUUUGCUGGCGCAGAGGGUGGGUAACCACACCCUUCUUCCGGCAACGGCAUAUACAUCACCAUGACAACAGAGGAUUUGUUGCAGCCCAACCAGUUGGUGAAAGACAGAUGGAAAAUAGUGAAGAAAAUUGGGGGUGGUGGUUUUGGGGAGAUUUACGAAGCCUUAGAUCUGGUGACCCGAGAGUCAGUUGCACUGAAACUGGAGUCAGCCAAGCAAGCCAAACAGGUGCUAAAAAUGGAGGUGGCAGUCCUAAAAAAAUUGCAGGGGAAGGAUCAUGUGUGUCGUUUCAUUGGCUGUGGCCGAAAUGAGCGAUACAACUAUGUAGUGAUGUCACUUCAAGGAAAGAACUUGGCAGAACUGAGAAGAAGCCAGGCUCGUGGUUGUUUCUCCCUCAGUACUACCUUGCGUGUUGGUGCUCAAAUCAUGAAGGCCAUCGAGUCCAUCCAUGAAGUGGGCUUUCUCCACAGAGAUAUUAAGCCUUCCAAUUUUGCUAUGGGCAAGGGAAACAAUGCACGCAGGGUGUUCAUGUUAGAUUUUGGCCUUGCACGGCAGUAUACCACAGCUACAGGGGAGGUCAGACCACCUCGCACUGCUGCUGGCUUUCGAGGAACUGUUCGUUAUGCAUCCAUUAAUGCACACAAAAAUAAGGAAAUGGGUCGGCAUGAUGACCUAUGGUCCCUUUUCUACAUGCUUGUGGAGUUUAUGGCUGGCCAGCUCCCUUGGCGUAAGGUGAAGGACAAAGAGCAAGUGGGUGCCAUGAAAGAAAAAUAUGAUCAUCUUCAGCUGCUAAAGAACAUGCCUGUGGAAUUCCGUUCAUUCCUGGAACACCUUCAGACACUGGACUACAUGACUAGUCCUGACUACGCCUUUCUUCAUAAUCUCUUUGAGCAGUGUAUGCGACGCAAAAAUAUUCGCGAAGUUGACCCAUAUGACUGGGAGAAGAUUUAUGCAGACACAUCCAUCACAACCACCAACACGUCACAGUUGGUUGCCAUCAAGCAGAGUGGGGGCCCAGGACCUCAGCAUGUGGGCCCAAGCACACCAGGCCAUGGAGCUACAGAAGUCAUGGAUGAAAACUUGAGCCAGGAGGAGGGUGAAGAACCACUGAAGAAACCCUCCACUGAUGCCCUCAUCAUUCCUGUGGACACAGUGCCCCGUGAUGUGGACAACCGGCUACUGGAGGAGCAUGGGUUGGAGGUGGUCCUGCCAAAAGACAUCAUCCUAGAAAAGAACCAUGUGGGCAAGUACGAAGCAGAACAAAGAGGCAAAGAUUCCAUUUUUGACCCCAAGGGUAACUUCCUGUCACCCACCCCCCAGCUGCUGCCCCUGGAUAACCGUGUUGCUGAGGAUGUCCACCAGAGACCACCAGUGGGUGGUCCUGCAGCUUCUGCAAUUUUAGUAAUAGAUCCCAAAUUGUUGGUGGAACAAGGUGCUGGGGAGCAAGGGAUGGAUGUUAGGGGUUUACUCAGCAUUCCAGACCCAAGCAAGCCAGGUGUUUACAAAACUGUUGUCACUGUUGGUCCAGGUGGGCAGAUAAAGCCAGUGGAUGAGAAUGGCAAAUCUCGAGCAGGUGUGAAAAAAGAGAUGUCAAAUGGCAGCGAACCUCAUGUACCAUCUGCAAUCCCAAGACUAAUCCCUCAGGCAACAGAUCAGCGAGGACACUUGCCUCCUGCACAACGUGCAGUGGAUGGGAGGAUGAGAAAUGUAAACGAAGUGGUCAGAGGAGCAGUUCCGGUGACAGACAGGCACCAGGGGGUCAAGCAAGAGCUUUUAGGAAGGGAAGAGGAAGAUGCAGAUGAUGAGGAUGAGGAAGGCAAUGGAGGUGCUCAGGAUGGUUAUUUCCAAGCCAGCCGUGCUGCUGUAACCUUUGCCAUGGUGCAGACAGAUGUUAAAACACCUGAAGCAGAAGAUGAGGAUGGUGGCGAUGAGAAUGCUACUCGUGCUGCCCCCUUCACCAUGGCUAGCCAGUGGCAAGGUAUCUCUGCUCUUGGCUCAAGUGGCGAUGAAGACAGCGAGAAUGAUGUAGAUGAAGAAGGUAUUCGGGUUGCACCGGAAACAAAGCAGCGACUCACUAAGUCUCGCUCCCACCAGCUGACCAUGAACACUUUGGCAGAUGAAGAUGAUCAUAACUUGGACAGCAUUGUUCGCAGCUCAUUAGUGCUUCAUGAUGAAAAUAAUCAACCAGAACUGCUGCAGAGGUCACAGACCUUUGAUGAUGAUGAUCUCAGCCUCCUGGCACGGCAGGCCACAGAUGAGGUUAUCACUGGCAUAGCGAGGGGUGAGACCAAAGUUGCCCAUCCUGUGGUCAGACAGACUUAUAAUGUGACGGGUGCCCCUAGGCUUAUAUAUGAAUCUCAUGUUUCAAAAAGCAAGCCAGAGUGCAAGAUAGCUAGUUCUAGUCCCAGGAAGAUGCCAGAGAAACUUGCCAAGGACAUGGGCAAUCGUAUUGGGUCCCCACUCAAGCAGACUCCUGGUAGUCCAUCAAAACGGUUGUUUAAAGAUGACAAGAAAGCAAUGUGGGCAGUCUCUAAGCUGGCUGUCCCUGUCAAACCUUCUGUUCAGCAGACUACAAAGAAAGAACGAUCUGUUGGUGCAAGUUCCAAAAGCAACAUGGAAAGUCCUCCUCGUUCAAAACAUGACAGUCUGAAAGGUAGUGAAAAUCAGUCAGGGGUAAAACAAGAGACAAAGACUAUAGACACUGGUGGUAGAGAUGAAGAUUUGGGAUCAAGUAAUUUAGUAUCUCAUUCUCCAUGCAAGCCUGCUAUGAAAGACAAAAAAGUUGAUAAGACUAUGACAGACAGUGCCCGGGAGACACCUGUUGGGAAUGGUACAAAGCAAGAUACAGCAUUAGCUGGAAAGCAUGAAGUUUUUAAAACAAAGUCCCCUCCAUGUGAGUCAAAAGAAACACAGAUGGAAGAUGCCCAGCCACUGGAAAGUGCUGGAGUAAGUUCUGAUGAGAAACGUGCCACGAAAAUUCCUGUUAGAACAGGGGCUGGCAAGCCUAGCCCAGUCCGAAAACGAUCAACAUCGGCUUCACGCAUAGAGCGAUCAGCAAAAGACUUGUCUGAUAUACCCGAAUGUGUAUCACCCCUUCAGCUAGAGGAGGAAUCCCCAGUGCCCAGGCCACCUCCCGGACAUCCAAGGACAGCGGUCAGCAGUGCCAGGCUCCGGCGUUACAAACAGGCCAGCAGCACAAGUCCCCGAGAACCAACAACACCCUAAAGCAUGUACUCCAUCUUGGCCCUCCACUUGUUUAUCGCCUUCACACUCCCCAUCCUCACCCCAUUGCACUCUUGCUUCAUGCUCGCCAAGCCCUAUACUUUGCCACUCAUUCUUUUGCCUGCUGCUUCCUGGAUAAUUUGCCCCUGCAUUCCCUGACCCCAGUCCAUGAAAAGACAGGAUGAUGGAUAAGAGUGGUGUAUGUGAAGCUAGUUGUGCCAUAUGAAGAAUGAAGCAAGAUGUAGAUGUAAAUCAAAGUUAUGCUCAAUCAAAGGCAUUGUGUAGGCAAGACCUUGUGAGCUGUGUUCACAACUCCUGCAUGUUUGCAACCCUUUAUGAUGACAUUUGCUUUCAGUCCUCUCUUGCAUUUAAAAUAUCAAGCUGUGUUUGUGUGAUUAUCUAAAGAUGCUACCCAGUCAUGAUGCAAAUGUUCAUGAUUAUGUUGGGGUCUGUAUGUUAUGUAGAGAGGAAAAAUGGGAAAAGGGUGUAUGAAUUGUGUAAUGAACAGUAAUGACAGUAGACUGUAUGCAGAGAAAUAACUGGUGCAUUUAACCUGGAGGAAGCUGGUCUGAUUGAGAUGUGUUGUGAAUGAAUGAAAAGCUGGCCUGAGUGAGAUGUGUUGUGAAUGAAGGAAGCUGGCCUAACUGAGAUGUGUUGUGAAUGAAUGAAAAGCUGGCCUAACUGAGAUGUGUUGUGAAUGAAUGAAAAGCUGGCCUAACUGAGAUGUGUUGUGAAUGAAUGAAAAGCUGGCCUAACUGAGAUGUGUUGUGAAUGAAUGAAAAGCUGGCCUGAGUGAGAUGUGUUGUGAAUGAAGGAAGCUGGCCUAACUGAGAUGUAUUCUACACAGAUGAGAAUGUUCAAGGUGCUUUAUUGAGAACAGCACUGAGAGUACUGUCUAUUUCUUUUUGGCAAGAACUUGGAAAACAGUACAUGUUCUGGUCUUCAAGAAUGUUCGUCAUCAACAGCUGACAGAAUUUCACACUAGCAUUUAUAAUAGCAUCAGAGGUUCUUCUUCUGUACUGCACUUGACGUAAGCUGCUUGAAACUCCUAGCUGACGUUGUGAUGUGAUAGACAGUUCACGGUCUUUCUAUGUUUAGUCAUUGCUGAAGAUCUUGCCCAUUUUUUUUAUCAUAAUUUAAACUAUUUCUCCACAAAUCUCAAGUCUACUUUGCACAGAUUGCUCAUUCUUGAUGAUUGUGCAGAAUGAAUACAUUAUCCAGUCAGUCGUUUUGCUACUGCAGAAUUUUGACAAAUGUUUUGCUAGUUUUUGGGGGUUUUAAUGUUGGAGAGUGUGCAGGAUAGUUUUUUAAUUUUUGGUCAUCAUGACAUUUUUACCUUUUGUCAUUUUAACAUUUAGUUAGUUCCUUAUUCAGAAGUUGAUUGGUAAAAAAAAAAAACCAACAUAAAAAUAUAUGUUGAACAAUUCAAACCUAAUCAAAAUAAAUUUUGUAGGUAUCUUGCAGGGUACAAUGAUAAAUCAUGAGGAAAAUGGCUGCUGGGUCUGGACUUUGUUGAAGAUCAGUUUUAUUUUAUUGUGAUUGUGAUAUGUGGCAAUUUAAAAAGUGAAUUAGAAAAACUUUAACCUUUUUGUAUCAUUUGUGAAUUUGUAUUUGGCAAAAUUUAAAGAGUGAGUCUGUCGAACAGACAAAGUAUAAAUGUUUAUUUUUAAGCAAGCAUCCUCCUCGCUGAAAGACAAACAAAAUUACUUGCAGGAGGUUGUGACUCUUGCGUUUAAAUUCUUAGAUCUUUGUCAAUAGCCAAUCAGAAUCUGUGCUACUGAAUGAUUUGCUCAAGUUUCAUGUUAACUGCAUGAACCUACAUGCUCAGAUACAUCAAGCAGAUGUUCCACGAGUUCUGGAUGCCUAUGUUACAAUGUUUGACAGCAUCUUGAGGCAGAAUGCACAUUAUAAAGCUGCAACAAAAGUUUUGCAAAAUGUAGCCGUGCUUGUUAUGUCUCUUCCUUUGCUACAUGGGCAGUCUGGUGGUGUAGCAAGAUAGUGGUUGGCUGUCCUGGGUUCAGAACUCAUCUCAGGUGCGCUGUGUUUCUCUGCAUGAGGCAUCUGUUUACAGGACUGGCUGCCUGUGAUGUAGCCUUAGUUGCUGGCUUGGUGUAAAACACUAAUUCCAUCCUUGGUUACAUAUAAUCUUCAGUUUUUCUUUGCGAGUAUUGCAGAGUUUUAUGAAAGAGAUAUCUCUUCAGUUCCUCAUCAGAUGAGAAAUUUGUUAUAGUAUGUGGUUAGCAGAUGUUUUAAACCCAGACAUCAGUCUCAUAAAUAAAUCAGAAUAUAACAAAAUGCACAAGAGAUAUGAUUCAUUUUCCAAGCUGCACCAUAAAGCAAAUAUAGAUGACACAAUACACCUAAAAGCAUUCCAUGCAGAUUCACAAAUACCUCCAGCUCUAGUUUAUGUGACACUACAGCAGAAUUAAGAAUUAACAUUUGAUGUAAACAAUGCAUUUACCUAAGAUGUAAGAUUGCUGCAUAAACCAUGAUACUUGGUGUGGUGGAAAUUAAGGGUACAUGAAGAAUUCAAAAGUAUUCUUUGUUGUUGCCGUUCUAUAAAUUUUACUUCAUAUAGCAGUACAAAAUUUAGUCAUUCAAGCCAGAUGCUUUUGUUUGUAUGUUGACAAGAUAGUCAGCAGGUGCACAAAGCUUAGUCCCCUUGUCACUUGACACCAUCUUGUUGCUGACACCAAUCUUUCUUCUGCUUGAUGACAAAACCUUUUAACCAGUGGUUUGUGGUUACACAGUAGAGUAGGCUGCAAUUUGACUUGGCUUGGCCAGGUUUGUUGUGAUGAUCAUGACAACUCAUGUUGUGGCCCAUGUGCAGAACUGUAGCAAUGUUAUAGCUUGCUUUAACAAGCCAAAUGUUCUCAGCCCAGUAAACCUUUGCCAGUCUUUGGAAACUUAAGGGUGAGCAUAUGGCAGAGUCUGCUUAUUUACUGUCUUGGCUCAGUGUGUCUGAGUGCCCACAAGACAUUACAUGACAUGUCUCUUUUUACCAAGUCAUGAUGAGUGUAUAUUCUCUACACCUGUGUUAAAUAGUAGUGACAGUGACACAAUCCUGUGACAGUUGUUGGCAUGCUGUAUGUUCCACACCCCUGCUGUCACAACCUCCUGACAGUGGCUAAUGUACUGCCAGCACUAUCUCCAGGAUUCUUUAGAAUUUUUGGAGUUGUCUACAAUGAUUCAUCUUUUGGCUUGGAAAGUAUGAUUUCCCUAGCUGGUGAAGGUAGUUUUGUAAAAUAUAGUACUACGCAGUUAUCCUAAUAUAGUCCUACAUAGUUAUCCUGCUAUGUAUCAUUUACCAAGAGCUCAAGAUGGGGUUUGGGUGGUUGGGGUGGAGGGAGUGUACAAACAUUGGCAUUAUGUGAUCCCACAUUCACCAUUACAAGGACCUCAGAUCCCAGCACUGGGAUAUCCUCAGUGACAAAGACAACCCACACAGAUCUCAGUAUUUCCAAGGGGAGAGUCAAAGAGGGGAAGGAAGUCAUCACCAGCCAUUCUGUUCUUAAUCAACCUCCAGAAAGUUUUGAGACCCUCACUAUUAUAAUCCGACUGACCCUUCCAAGUUUACAGACCCACGUCUAUACAGAUGGAGCAGAAGACAAAAGCAACCCACAAAGGUGGUGACAAGCAUCUUGUCAUUUACAAAUGGAGAAUCCACAUUUAUUUGGAGUUCAUAAGGCGUGUCUAGGUCCAACUUCAAAGCAGACAUUCUUACAACUUCAAAAGCAGCAGAUUUCUCUUCCACCUGUUGGAGAACCCUAGGCAUCUCCAUGCUGAUAGUCAACAAGGCAGCACUUGAGGAAUCCUGACCCACUCAUCCUGAAACUUGAAGCCUCUCUCUGCAAUCUAUCAACAGUACAGCACCAGCCACUAGCCAUCACUUUCAGCACAUAUUGGCCUUUCAGGCAAUAAGUUUUGCAUAUUGCCUGGUCGAAGAAGGCAGGCAGUGCCCUCAGCCAGCAGACAUUACAACCUGAAGAAAGACCAAUGCACACCAGAACAGAUAAAGAGGAAACUUGACAAUUCUGAAUGGUGGAUACCAGGCUCAGCCAGACCCCAUCCACCAACAACAAAAGCCAACAGAUUUCAUUUACAGAUUUCAACAGGGCACUGUGGUCUGAGUGCUUACAAACAAAAAUAGGCAUUGUAUGUUCAGGCCAGUUUGAGUGUGGCCACUCACAGCAGACUGAGCUGCCUAAUCCACAAGGAAAAAUGCCAGAAACUGUGGACAUUCGCAUCCAGCUCUGCUGAUCCCUGCCACGCUCCCAGCUUUACAUCAUCCCUUGGCAAGAUAUAUCUGUUUCCACAGAUAUCAAAAAAAAAAAAAAAAAUGUACUCCCACAAAAACAUUUAUGUAGAUCAUUUUCUCCAACAAUAAAAGACCUAGCUACUACAAACACUUUAGUCCAGUAACAUUCGAAGUGGAAUGCUUUCCAGUUAGCAUAACGUAAAAGUUUGCUUUUGAUAAUCAAACUUCUACCAUCAGCUACUUUUAAAGAUACCAAGGUCAAAGGAUUGUUAUGACCUUUGGUUUGGCUGUUAUGGUUGAUUGAUUGCUUUGUUGCAUGUGUCUAUAUGGUGAAAGGGUUUGUAGACAAUCUAAUGUCAGAAUGACGUGGGCUUCGGCAGUAAAGGCACUGAGCUGACCAAGACUAGUGGUGGGCUCCCACAAAUCUGAUGGAGUACCAUUCAGUGGAGAGGGGACUCGGUCCUGCUGUGUUUGCUCACAGGUUUUCAACAGUUGGGGGUUUUUUCAUCUUGCGUGUACAAGACAGACUAGCUGUUCAUGUCCAGACUUCCUUGCUUUCAGAUGCUCUGAAAUGUUGCCAUGUUCUUAGAAUAUCUGCUUUGAAUGUAAAAUUUGUACGUUUUCUCAUAAUUUACAAGUUUCUGUAUGGUAGGAGGUGUGAGUGGAUGCAUCUUUUACAUUGCCUUUUCAAGAGAGGGGGGGGGAAAAAACUUAUUCCCAGUAUGCAUAUAGCCUCCUAGCUUUCAGUACUUUUUGGAUACUUUAAAAAUUGUUUAUAAACUCAGUGUUUUUCUGCUAAUGCUAUGCUAAUUAGAAUUCAGCCUUCCAUUGUAAGACGCUCAGUUACUUCACUGUAUUGUUGGGUCUAUUGCAGGGUGAGCUUCUUGUCAUGAGUAGUGGUUACAAGAGCUAGAAGGGACAGACAGCAGUUUUAAAAGCUGGGAUGGUUGACUUAAGAAGUUAAAAUUUGGGAGGAAAACACUAGAAAACUGGGACUGACAGGAAUGUGUGUGAUAGCUUGGUAGGAAGGCGGUGGUGGUGGGGCGGGGAUUAUGAAUCUGCAGACCAAGGGAUGAGAGAAUGAUGGAAUACUAGGAUGCAGUGUAAAACUCCUUUCACGAAUUGAAAAUCAAAUUCUUUUUUAGCACAAACUCACUUAAGAAUCGUUUUUGAGAAGAUUGUUAAGAGAAGAGAUUGAAUGUGCAGUGGUCACUAAGCUGGUUUCAUGACGUCACUUCACAUGUGCUACCUUCACCCAUGCCUUUGUGUGAUAUUAUUCAGACAGUUGAUGUGGCAUGUGUUCAUAUUUUAUAUCAAAAUUAGACAAUAAAAGGCUGAUUAGGAAGUUGAUUUAAAAGUUGUGUUGCUGUUGACUGUGCUGGUGAAUGAAGAAAGUUCAGAAUAUUGAGAUGGAAGUAAUAUGUAUCUUGUAGCAAGCUGGUUAUUCUAGGAACAACUCCAUUGUUAAUGUGCCCAAGGGUGCAUGCCAGUUUUUCUUAAUGUGUUUGGUUUUUUUUAUUCAUGUUUGAUGUAAUUCAAGGCAAUUUAUCACCCACAGAAACUGGUCUCAUUUGUUUUUUUCUUGUCUUGAUACAGUGUGCAAUCCAGUCAAAUGCUUUAAACAAAAUAUGUUGAGAAUGUGUCAAUAACUACUUUUUGAACUCUUAAGUUUAUGGCAGUCUAAGUCAUUUGUAAAAUUUGUUGUAUUAAUUUUUUGUGCAACAUUUGUUUGGCAAGGUUUGUGGACGAAAUUUAGUUAUUCUCUUUUUAAGUCAAAUGACUUGUAGCUUGUGAUAAAGGACCUCUUGAUUUCUGUAAUAACAUUUUAUCGUUUUAACAGCCGUCAAUGGCAUUGUUAAUAAAUCGUGUUAUUUUGUUGAUGGUUGUCUAGGUUGUGACCACAUGCUAACUAUGGUUAUGAUGGUUGAGACAUUGGCAUUCUGCUAGAAAUGUUUGCAGAACUCACAUCAUCCUCACACUGCCCGGACACCUUUGGGGGAGGGAGUUGUUUGUUUGCUUUUUACCUGAGCCACAUCCAGCUUGUUUCUCUCGAUCUUUGUCUUCAUUAAUGGGCUCAUGUGCUCAGGAAACAUGUAAAAUGUCAGAUGCUAGUGAGCAGCAUUCAGUGACAUUGACAACACUACAUCUACUUGAAUGAUUUUCAUCAGACAUCUGCAUCAUGACAGCAAUGAUGUGCACGUAUGAGCACUAGGGGCCUGUGGUACCUGUAUAUUGUAAAGCUGCCCGUAUUCUAGCUUGUAGCAGGGACACAUCAGGGACUUGAAUGCACCAUUGAAAUUCCAUGCUGCUCAUGAAAUUCUUUUAUUUUCAUCACAACCUAGAAGACCAUGAUCAAAUUCUUGAAAUCAGGAAACUCAAUCUUCAAUCACUACUAGCAGGAGAGAUUUUUAUUUUAAGAGAGGAGAGUUUGAAGAUCAUGAGAAGAAAUGGGUGGUUUUUUGGUAUUGCUGAAAACGGAUGUUAAGGCUUAGUUCAACUUGUAUUUUUGUAUGAUUCUUCAGGACAGGUGUUAAGCCAAAUUAUUCCCAGGAGAAAGCAAUUUGACUGAGACUUAACACUGCAACCCCUGGUAGUUCACAUGACAGGAACUGUACCUGUAUCAUGCAGUUAGGUCAGUUGGAAUGUGUUCAUUGCAGCCUGUUGGCACUCACAGAUGCUCUAAAUGUGAUCCUAUGCACUGUUUCUAGCAGCUGUCUAAAGGGAGUUUCUUGGAGGCAUAGACUUUCCUUAGAGGAUAUCUUUCAUCUAAAUUAACCUCAACCCCCUUCCUAGAAUCAAGCUCACUUAGCCCCUUUUUGUAAGAAAAUAGCAGUCAUGCUGACAUUGUUUCACUUAUAACCAGUAUCAGGCCUGCAUACUAUGAGAGUGCAGACUGAAUGAAGAACUUUACACAAAGCAUAUACAAUUUUUCAGGGAUCUGGAGAUUUCUCAUUGUAGAAACUCACAAAACCAGAUUUAUCACAUGAUCACAUUUAUCAGCUGGAAUUGGUCAUAUUUAUGUUGCUGCAGGUGUAUUUUAGCCAACAUGCAUGCUUGUCAAAAUGCUCAUAUUCUUUUACCAUGUUUGAAUGUGUGGAAUCAGGAGGCAUUUUGCAUAAACAUUGAACUUGAUCUGCAUGCAGAUCUGUUUACCUGCUUGUGGAUGGAGGUUCCUAGUGAAUGUGUACAGUGAACAUGAGCUACAGUUUGACAAAUAAAGUCCUUUAGCUAUAUUGCUAGGUGCAAGUGAAUGUUGCAUUGCAUUAAAGGUCUUUUUGUUAAAGGGUUUUUAUUUGUUUAGUGUUUUCAGUGGGCUAUAAGAGGUUCUCCUAAGAAUGCUGAUGUCAAGAGGCCUUGGAUAUGUGUUGCAGAUCACUGGGUUUGUAUUUAACUACGCUUUCUGGGGCUAAAGUGGUCUUAAAGAUAGCUUUUGAUGAGCUUACAAUGUACUAUUCAGCACUUCUUACUGGCAUGUUGGAAGUAGUUUUUAAAAUAGUAAUCAUUAUGUAUGGUGCUUGUGCAGCAGAAGGCAGGAGGCCUGCAAACCAAAUUCUAUGGCAAAAAUGUUGAGCUACCACAGCAUUGAUACCUGCACACUGUCAUGGUGAUGUCAAAUGUGAAACCUGCACAUACCUUUGUUACAGAUCAGACACCUGCACAGACCCUUGUGAAAAUGUUGCAUCUUAAGUCUGGACAGACUUUCAUGACAAAACUUAAGCCUGGACUGUCAUGAUAAUAUUGAACUCCUCGACAGACUUUUGUGGUCAGUAGGAAUGUUGAAGACAUUUGUGGUUAACCUUCAUUCUGAAAUGUCUUUAAACAAUUCUCGUUGCAUCUACAUGGGAGGGAGUAAAGAAACAGGCUUUGGAGAGAAACUUUAAAGAAUCCAUUACAUGCUUUCGGGUGUUCUUUGCAAAAACCCAUCCUAUACUUAUUUCUUUUUAAUGUUGCAUCUGGUUUUCCCCCAGCCUUUUCUGCCAGUAGCAGUGGCAUUAUCUUGCAAUUGAGUCAACCUUAUUUUAGUCGAAUCACGUCUUUGAGAAGCUGUUUCCUUGUCUUUGCUAUAGACCAAUCUCACAGUUAACCAGUGCUUUUCUUACAUUUGAGAACAUUGUUUUUCACACAGAGCAAGUGUUACAUGCUACACAGACUUGAUAGUCUUCUUUAGUACUAGUUUCAUUGCUGAGACUUGAAAAAGUGAUUAGAGCUUGUGGAAACUAAAAGAUUGAGGGUUGAGUUUUAAAAUAUUAAAAUAAUUAGAAAAAAGAUACACCUUUCAAUACAAUAUACUCAAUAUUUCUCAAAAGUAGUGACAUCCCAGACUUUCAAACUUGUAGUGAUACAGCUUUCCAAGUUUUAUUUAGUGAUAUAUCUAUGUUUAUUACUUGUCUUGACAAUUUCUCCAUUUUACCUUCUCCUUUGGUAAAUUAAGUGAAAUUUACCAGGCAGAAGAUGCACAACAUGUGAAUAAAGCACUUUUUUUGCGACUAAGAUGUCUCAACCUUUUAGAGUACCAAGUACUGAGUUUUCAGUGCCAAAACAGCUCACUUGUUAAAAGCUGUGAUGGUUUUUUUAUUAGCUGCUAAAUGUUAGUGGCUGGCCACUCAUAGUUUUGUUGGGCACCAGUGUCUGGCACACACUGCCGUGCAUGCCUUAGAUCUCGUCUAGCGCUGCUUUUGUUGCUGCUGCAUCAUCUCCCCCAUUUUCAGGAGAAGUUUAUCAAUGGCUCAUCUAGCACAGCUUUUUGUUGUGUACUUGUUUACUGGUAUAUAUGGAUGAUGUCAAUGUGCCCAGGUGUGCUGAUUUCACUUUGCCCACAAAAGUUGGGCUGCGAGUAUGACUGUUAUUGUUAUGGAUCGUAUUUGUGUGCUGUUCUCAAAAAUGUUUUCAAUACACAACACUGUGAACAGUC